CGGGGAGACAGGUGGUGCAUGGUUGUCGUCAGCUCGUGUCGUGAGAUGUUGGUUAAGUCCCGCAACGAGCGCAACCCUUGUGUUUAGUUGCAAACAGGUCAAGCUGUGCACUCUAGACAGACUGCCGUGGACAACACGGAGGAAGGUGGGGAUGACGUCAAAUCAUCAUGCCCCUUAUGAUCUGGGCUACACACGUGCUACAAUGGCCGGUACAACGGGCAGCGAAGGAGCGAUCCGGAGCGAAUCCUAAAAAGCCGGUCCCAGUUCGGAUUGCAGGCUGAAACUCGCCUACAUGAAGUUGGAGUUGCUAGUAAUCGCGAAUCAGAAUGUCGCGGUGAAUGCGUUCCCGGGUCUU
rnacentral:rRNA from 1 species